rnacentral:rRNA from 1 species
UACGUAGGGUGCGAGCGUUAAUCGGAAUUACUGGGCGUAAAGCGUGCGCAGGCGGUUUUGUAAGUCAGAUGUGGAAUCCCCGGGCUUAACCUGGGAACUGCGUUUGAAACUACAAGGCUAGAGUGUGGCAGAGGGGGGUGGAAUUCCACGUGUAGCAGUGAAAUGCGUAGAGAUGUGGAGGAACACCGAUGGCGAAGGCAGCCCCCUGGGUUAACACUGACGCUCAGGCACGAAAGCGUGGGGAGCAAACAGG